rnacentral:rRNA from 1 species
ACACGUAUCCAACCUGCCGUCUACUCUUGGCCAGCCUUCUGAAAGGAAGAUUAAUCCAGGAUGGGAUCAUGAGUUCACAUGUCCGCAUGAUUAAAGGUAUUUUCCGGUAGACGAUGGGGAUGCGUUCCAUUAGAUAGUAGGCGGGGUAACGGCCCACCUAGUCAACGAUGGAUAGGGGUUCUGAGAGGAAGGUCCCCCACAUUGGAACUGAGACACGGUCCAAACUCCUACGGGAGGCAGCAGUGAGGAAUAUUGGUCAAUGGGCGAUGGCCUGAACCAGCCAAGUAGCGUGAAGGAUGACUGCCCUAUGGGUUGUAAACUUCUUUUAUAAAGGAAUAAAGUCGGGUAUGCAUACCCGUUUGCAUGUACUUUAUGAAUAAGGAUCGGCUAACUCCGUGCCAGCAGCCGCGGUAAUACGGAGGAUCCGAGCGUUAUCCGGAUUUAUUGGGUUUAAAGGGAGCGUAGAUGGAUGUUUAAGUCAGUUGUGAAAGUUUGCGGCUCAACCGUAAAAUUGCAAUUGAUACUGGAUGUCUUGAGUGCAGUUGAGGCAGGCGGAAUUCGUGGUGUAGCGGUGAAAUGCUUAGAUAUCACGAAGAACUCCGAUUGCGAAGGCAGCCUGCUAAGCUGCAACUGACAUUGAGGCU